UGUUUAGUGUGGGACUCCUUCCCACAGGGGCUUCUGGCUGAAGGAGUGAGGACGCCCCCCCCUACUCACACAGGGCUCCAAGCAGCUCACCGGGGGCCUGCCCGCACCUGCCUGUCUCCCGAGCUCCAGCUGGACCCUCUGAGAUCCGCUGGUGGAGCGCAGGCCCCUGGCUAUGUGCCUAAGGGGAGGGAGCACCUGUCUGCUCCCCCCGACAUCCCGAUGGGGACACUGAGCCCCUGAGAGGUAGGCCGGAAGCUCAGCACCCCACAGCAGCUCUGCAGGAGGCCCUGGCCCAGGGGUCCAGUGCCCAGGCCAUGAGUCAGCACACAGAAGUCACCUGCCGUGCAACCUGGCACAGGUUGCCUCCCUCUUACCCCUUGCCAAGGGCCCAGGGCUAGUGGCCUGGUGCCACCAGCCAGCGGCGCCUCACGGGGAGCCUGUCGCCUAGUGAGGAGGUACAUCUUGCUGCCGUUUGCCUUGGGUGAGGGAGCACGGCGGGGACUCCAAGCAGGGCUCGUGCACCAGGGAGGGGGCCAGCACAGGGCCCGGGGUCACGGUCUCCUGGGAGCGCGCACUGCCCCAGGUGGGGGCUUGUGAACACCAAGUCCAUGGCUGGCCCCCAAAGGGCAAGGGGAGACGAGGUGUCCGUGCACACCUGGCCACAGCGCCAUGAGUGGUCCUCGCGGGGGGCCCGCUCUCCGGAUGGCCAGCCUUGGGUUGCUCAGAGUGUUCGCCGGGUUGCUCAGAGUGUUCGCCGGCCUGCUCUGACGCCAGCCGCCCUCUGCCUCUUGCUGGGGGCGGCCAAGCACACGCUCGCUGGACUUCCUUUGCGGCUCUCUUCCCUGGUUCCUCUGCCUUUAACUGAUAAAACGUCGCAGAACCCUUGGAUAAGGAAAGGGGCACCUUUCUGCCCUUCCCCCGGCCCCAUGGUUCCUGCCCAGCUUUUUUUCUGGAAUCUUCAUCUUGGCGCUGUCCGAGUGGUGGCUCAAGACCGCCUACCUCCAGUACCGCCAGCCCGUGGUGGUCUACUCCAGCCCGGGCGUCAUGCUGCCGAAGCAGGACUUUGUGGAUCUGCAGGGCCAGCUCCGGUGAGCGGCUGAGGCCGGGGGUCCUACCCGGGGGACUGGAGGGACCCAGCCCUAUUCGUGUCUCACCACCCCCCCCCCCGACAUGAAGAUGAAACAUGGGAAAAGCUGGGACCCUGGGGCCACGCCGCUGUCCACCCCCGAAACUGGUCCGGAGGCCCCUCCUUUCCGCAGACCCCCGCCUUCCUGGCCCCUGGAAAGGGGACACUUCCUCCUUCCUUUCUGCUCUCUCAACUGCGCGUAAAGGGUGACCUUUAUACACCGUCCCCUUUUCCACCAUUUCGGCAGUGUCACAUGCCCUGGCUUCUGUUCCAAUCCUAGCGGAAAUAAAAAUACCAGCGGGUAGGGACCUCUGGGCCGA
rnacentral:lncRNA from 1 species